CAGAGCUGGAUCCCCAAGAUCUUCAAGAAGAAGACCUGCACGACGUUCAUAGUUGACUCCACAGAUCCGGGAGGGACCUUGUGCCAGUGUGGGCGCCCCCGGACCGCCCACCCCGCAGUGGCCAUGGAGGAUGCCUUCGGGGCAGCCGUGGUGACCGUGUGGGACAGCGAUGCACACACCACGGAGAAGCCCACCGAUGCCUACGGAGAGCUGGACUUCACGGGGGCCGGCCGCAAGCACAGCAAUGUGAGGCGGGCCUGUGUGGGCGGG
rnacentral:lncRNA from 1 species